CUGAGGUGGCGAGCGGCGGACGGGUGAGUAAUGCUUGGGAACAUGCCUUUAGGUGGGGGACAACAGUUGGAAACGACUUCUAAUACCGCAUGAUGUCUACGGACCAAAGUGGGGGACCUUCGGGCCUCACGCCUAAAGAUUGGCCCAAGUGGGAUUAGCUAGUUGGUGAGGUAAUGGCUCACCAAGGCGACGAUCCCUAGCUGGUUUGAGAGGAUGAUCAGCCACACUGGAACUGAGACACGGUCCAGACUCC
rnacentral:rRNA from 1 species